ensembl:lncRNA
AGAGAGAGAGAGAGAGAGAGAGAGAGGGAGAGAGAGAGAGAGAGAGGGAGGGAGAGAGAGAGAGAGAGAGAGAGAGAGAGAGAGAGAGAGAGUGGGAGAGAGAGAGAGAGGAGGAGGGAGAGAGAGAAGAGGGGAGGGAGAGAGAGAGAGUGGGGAGAGAGAGAGAGAGAGAGUGGGAGGGAGAGAGAGAGAGAGAGUGGGAGGGAGAGAGAGAAGAGUGGGAGGGAGAGAGAGAAGCCAGCCAGAUUCAAUGAAGCGAAAUCUGGCUGAGGCAAAGCGAAGCGUAAACCAGCGAGCGAACAUUCCCCAAAAGGAACAUACAAAUAGAGAGGAGAGGGUGAGAGAGAGGAGAGGGUGAGAGAGAGGAGAGGGUGAGGGAGAGAGGAGAGGGGGAGAGGAGGAGAGGGGGAGAGAUGAUGGGAGGUGAAAGAAGGGUGUAGCUGGAGAGAUUUGAAAAGAGGGCAGAAGCAGAAGAAGAACGACGCACUCUGAGCCCUCACUGCCAAUCAGUCUUUAAGGAGGACGGUUGGGUUCCCCUUUAAUGGCUCCACACACACACACACUCACGCGCACACACACACACACUCACGCGCACACACACACACACACACACACACGCGCCUUUUUAAAAAGCUGCCUCGCCUGCGCCCUGUUUUUUAUAGCAGUGCAUGAAAACUGUUAUAAAAACACAUUUGGUAUAUUAGAGGACACACACAUUAUUCAGAGCAUCACAGCUGCUUUUUGAAUCAGAACAAACAUGAUGAAUUGAUUAGACAGGUAAAUAAAAAAUAAUAAAAACAGGAACAGAUCUGCUGUUAAGUGACGAUGUUUCUCCAAAGCGCUGCGGAUGCGUACAGAAUGAGAUGUCAGACCCUAACUUUAUUCCUCCGUCGCUCCUUUUGAGAGAGCUAUGUAGCCAUGGUAAUGGAGGAGGGGGAGGUGGUAAAAAAAGGCGUAACAUGGGGGGAACCCCCAUGACGGUGAUACGGGAAGAGGGGGGCCGGUGAUGCUGUCUCACGGCCACCUCCCCCAUCCCUCCCUCGGCCACAACUCAACACUCAAGUCUCAGAAGAUUGAAAAAAAAAAAAAGAAAGAAAAUCAACCGUUGUAAACUGGGAGUCCGCUCAGAUUGUCAAAGGGAUGUUUGAGACAAGACCACAUAGUGGGGAUGGGGGGGGGUCACCCCCAUAUAAAACACAGCAGAGCCCAGGGGAAGACGUAGAGAGUAACACAGACCCCGCUCAGGUGGAAGGAUUCUACAGUAAGUUUUGGUGAUGGCUAUCCUAAAGAGUAAAGGUUUCAGGCUGGCUGGAAAGUGGAUUUUCACAAUAAAAGUUGUAAAGAAGAAGAAGCGCUAAUUCGACAGAUGCUACCGUCGAUGCUAACACCAUAUUAUAUAUACAGAAAGUAUCGGCUGAUAGCACCUAGUUUUGGACUUUUCUCGGACAGGAAGUGGGCGGUUCUUUUAAAUACGACCCAGCAUGUGAUAUAAAGCACUUGGUUGACUUUUUUUGUUUCAUUUUGUUUUUUUACAUUUUUUACAUAAAAAAAGUGGAGGCUAUGUACCAAUAAUUUAAAAAUAUUAAUAUUACAAUGUAAAAUAUUUAACAUCAUUGACAAGGUAAGGGCAAGGUUACUUUGGGGCGGGGGGGGCAUAAUUUAUAUAUAACUUGUCUUUAAUUUGAGUGUGCAAGCGAACCCCUUCUUUUUGUUCCUUGCAGAAUUCAAGGUGGUGGUUUCAGGUGGAGAAGCUUCUGGAAGCAGACAUUCAUGACAGCAGAGUGAAGCACCCCGAAGAGUUCACAGCUCCCUGGUGAAGUCCAGCAUUCAUUCAUACCAAAAGCAAAGAGAAUAUUUGGUGUGGCGCGAACACACGCUCAUUUUUGGCACAAAUAAACAACGCAGUUAUUACGUUAUUUAUUUCAAAUUUCGCAAAUGCGCCUGAUUUACGUGUUUGCUCAGUUGAAUACUUUAACUUUGGAACAAAUUGAGCUCGGUGCUGAAUCGGUGGCGAGGGGAAUGUUCGCUGGGCGUAGCAGACUGGAGUUCUGUCCAGAUGACGUGGAAGACGGCCGGACAAACGUUUCUGCCAGAGAGUCGACCUCGAGCGACAACACAAGUGGUUAAACACACACUUUCAAAAUGGAGUUCAGACUAGAUUUUUCAUUGUACUAAUCCUUUUUCUUUUCAGUUUCAGCCUUGGCCCUGCUUAGAGAACACACACACACACACACACACACACACACACACACACACACACACACACACACACACACACACACACACACACACACACACACACACACACACACACACACACACACACACACACACACAGCUGGCUGGUGAGCUAGUGGUCAGGCAGACAUUAUGCGAUCGAGAGGAGAGCAGUAUUGCUGAAUGUUUGGAGUCUCAUCGUCGGACGUGAACACAUAAAGAAGGCCUUUUUUUAGUUUUCGGUUCUACCUCGGGAAACCUAACAUCACGAGACUCAAAGACAAGUGUGGCUGCUUUCUAAUCGUGAGCGCACACACACACACACACACACACACACACACACAGGUUUCUGCUAAUUCAAAACCUCUUUUUCCAAGAAAAGGUGGGAAGAACCAAAGGUCAUAGCGCUCCGAAGUUUGUACCACGAGAAUAAAUGGAAGGUCAUCGGUCACCAUAGUAGCAAAACAACAACAACAAUGACAACAAUGACAACACGACAACAACCAACCAACCAGCGCGGGAGGCUGAGUGGAGGCCAGCCGCCUCAGAAGGCAGUUUCACUAUCGGCCAUCUUGUGUUGUUCUGUAUGUUCGAGCAGUCACACAAAUUAGAGGACGAUUCACAGCAGGUGGCGCUCGCCGCGGGACGCCACCCGAG